GGUUUCUCUUCAGAUCAUAUAAAUCUUUCACAUUUUACCAAAGAUUUCUGUGGAGAAGAACAAGUUA
rnacentral:snRNA from 1 species